UAUAUAUUCGUUUGUCUUAUUUGGAAUUUGUGAUUAUUGGAGCAAUGGCCAUUCCCAGCACCGCAUACUUCUUAUGGAGAUGGAUGACCAAA